rnacentral:rRNA from 1 species
CCUACGGGAGGCAGCAGUCGAGAAUCAUUCACAAUGGGGGAAACCCUGAUGGUGCGACGCCGCGUGGGGGAAUGAAGGUCUUCGGAUUGUAAACCCCUGUCAUGUGGGAGCAAAUUAAAAAGAUAGUACCACAAGAGGAAGAGACGGCUAACUCUGUGCCAGCAGCCGCGGUAAUACAGAGGUCUCAAGCGUUGUUCGGAAUCACUGGGCGUAAAGCGUGCGUAGGCUGUUUCGUAAGUCGUGUGUGAAAGGCGCGGGCUCAACCCGCGGACGGCAGAUGAUACUGCGAGACUAGAGUAAGGGAGGGGGAACCGGAAUGCUCGGUGUAGCAGUGAAAUGCGUAGAUAUCGAGAGGAACACUCGUGGCGAAGGCGGGUUCCUGGACAUUAACUGACGCUGAGGCACGAAGGCCAGGGGAGCGAAAGGGAUUAGAUACCCCAGUAGUC